GAGCUAGAGAUCCACACAGACACAUAAUAGAAGAUCGAUACAGACACAAAAUAGAACUACAGAUCAACCCCGUAAAAACCUUAUUUUCAUCUUCCCCAAUCCUCUUGGUCGAGAAUCUCACGGUUCGUCAGCCUGCAACUACGACGAUGGCGACACAGCCACUUCUUCCUCCCGUGAUACAGGCUUCAUGAAUCAACCAUGGCUGCCCCCUUUUCCUGACAACGGACGAGGAAGCGACGCAGACUCUUCUCCCUUCUCCCGCGACUAUGUCAACGGUGACAACGUUAAUUCCAACACAAUCCUUCUUCUUUCGCUUCCCCUCCCGUCAGUUAGUGUUCGGGAACUACGUCUAUUUCGCUGUGCCCAGCACCCCGCCGCUGUCAAUUUUCGAUGGCCAAUUGCUCCAGGAGCAAUAUCAGAGUCCAACUUCGAUGGAUAUCAUGGAAACGACGGAGACAAAGGUUGCAGAAACAACAUUUUUACAAGAUGGGAGAAAGGUUUGGGAAAUUAAUGUUUCUGCCUUUAUAUGAAUCACUAUGCUUUGGACCUUAUAAGUUCUCUCAACAUUUUGGUCAAACUUAGCUUCUUCUAUGUUAUAUCUCACCUGGUAAAAUGGUUCUACUGGAUAAAUUACUUUCCAAACUAAAGGAACGGGAUUCCAGGGCACUUAAAUUUACACAGGCUGUUAGAUAUACUUGAAGAUUAUUUAAUGUUUCAAGGAUACCAACAUUCCCGCAUAGAAGACAAUAUUGAUGGAGAACAUCGUCAUGCUUCCAUUGCUGUUUUUGUUGCCAUUAAUCUUGCUACUGCAGACAUUGACAUUCUUUAUGACAGUGACCGGUUGACCUAUAAGCUCAAGAUCAGGCUCAUAGGAUUGGCCAGAAGAAAGAAGUUGAAGUUUACAUAUUCUGCUCAUUAUUAGUGAAAGUUCUUUGUUAGAGUGACGUGUUACAUGCUCAAAACCACAAGUUCUAGCUCAGGCUUGGCUAUUCAAUAUUUGCUCACAACAAAUAUCAUCGGAUGAAGAAGAACCUUUGGUGUUUAAAAAGAAAAAAAAAGCUACCAUCGGAAAAGCCGAGACAACGUGCAUCAUUUGAUCAAGAAGAAAUCAACGGCACAAAUGACAUUACUUCAGCAGAUGAAGAACAAAUUUUGAUUCAAACCUUGAGGACAAACACAUCUAAGAGAACCACAGUUAGAAAUACAAACACCACAAGGAAGCCAAAAAGAUUAACAAGACAAAAAAAAUAGAGAGUAAUUCCUUAUGUAGCUUAUAUUUCAUUUCCUACAAUUAAUAUCAUGUAUUUGACUAUUUUAUUUGAAAAUCAAAAGCUUAUUUUAAUUA